GACAGAGGGUGCAAACGUUGUUCGGAAAUUACUGGGCGUAAAGCGCGGUGUAGGCUGCUUCGAAAGUCGGAUGUGAAAGCCCUGGGCUCAACCUAGGAAGUGCAGUUCGAAACUUCGGAGCUUGAGUUCGGAAGAGGAGGCGGAAUUCUCGGUGUGAGAGGUGAAAUUCGUAGAUAUCUGGAGGAAUACCGGUGGCGAAGGCGGCAUCCUGG
rnacentral:rRNA from 1 species